UACGAGGACGAACGCUGGCGGCGUGCCUAACACAUGCAAGUCGAGCGGGGACAUACGACGGAACCAAAGUUUCGGAUGGAGGUGAAGGAUGUAUGUUCUAGCGGCGGACGGGUGAGUAACGCGUGAGCAACCUGUCCCUUACAGGGGGAUAACACAGCGAAAGUUGUACUAAUACCGCAUGAGACCACGGGGAGACAUCUUUCUGAGGGUAAAAGGAGCAAUCCGGUUUGGGGUGGGCUCGCGUCCGAUUAGCCAGUUGGCGGGGUAACGGCCCACCAAAGCGACGAUCGGUAGCCGACCUGAGAGGGUGAACGGCCACAUUGGAACUGAGAGACGGUCCAAACUCCUACGGGAGGCAGCAGUGGGGAAUAUUGGGCAAUGGGCGAAAGCCUGAACCCCCAGCAACGCCGCGUGAGUGAAGAAGGCCUUCGGGUUGUAAAGCUCUGUUAUAGUUGACGAAGGAAGUGACGGUAGGCUAUAAGGAAGCCCCGGCUAACUACGUGCCAGCCGCUGC
rnacentral:rRNA from 1 species